UGCUCACUUCAGCAGCACCAAACUAAAAUUAGAACAAUACAGAGAAGAUUUAGCAUAGCCCCUGCACAAGGAUGACAUGCAAAUUCGUGAUGCAUUCCACAUUAAA
ensembl:snRNA U6 U6 spliceosomal RNA